AACACAUUUUUUUAUUCUUAUUGUUCAUAAUCCGUCAAAAAUUAUUUAUAAUAUUUUAAAUUUAUAGAUCAUGAACUAUCAUCACAAAAGGCAUUAGGAAAUAAAUCAACAAGUGAAAACAACCACUUAAAAGUUCAAAUUAACUUCCAAAAGUGCAACGAAAGCAAUUGAUGAAGAAAAUAGUAAACAUUCUUCCACUUCAGAUGACGAAAGUUGUAACCUUGCAACAACGAAAAAGAAAAAGAAAAUUAAUAAUAAAAACAUCAUAAGAAAGUCUCGAAUAUCUUCAUCUAGUGGAUCUGAUUAAAUAAUUCAAUAACACUGACUCUUCAAGAAAAAUUACAUAAAAAUUUAAAUUCAUUGACAUCCGUCGACGAGUAAAUAUAAAACUAAACAAUAGGAAGGUGCUCAAGUUGAACAACUAAACCGUUUGAUGGAUGCCCGAUUUAAGAGUAUUUAAUUUAACUCAAAUCUAAUACAAUAAGCAGCCAGAAUAAUAAUUAAAUA